rnacentral:lncRNA from 1 species
GGAAUCCCCGCAGGCGCUGGGUCUGCAGAUGGCGUCCAGGUACACAGUGGCGAGUGUGAUUCCGCAGUCUUGGGCUGUUUGGCCAAGCGCCCGCCGGACAUGGUACGCCGAAGGGUCAUCGGCGUGGAGUCCUCGCUUUCAGCGUCCGCGGCUGGGAAAUCGGCCAUCGCUACGGCGGGAACUGGGACUCGGGCUGCGUCCCGGCCCUUCCACAUCGGUCCACCGCACUCGUGGGCGCCCGCAUUGGUGCUGACAUAAUUUCCUGACCUCUGACCCGUAUUGUCUCGCGAUUAAAGAGCUGCGCCUGGAUCCCUCAGCAGUGAGGAGACCUGAAGACCAGAGGAAACACAGCAAGUCCAGGCACUCCCACUCCUCCUGAGAGAAAUCUACAGCCACAUCCCUGAACAUCAUCAACUGUUGGAAAGAAUAAUUCCAAGUAUUAAUGGGGCUCACCAGAGAAGACAGGGCAAGGUGAGGGGGAUCUCCUAGCAGAGGAAACAACAUGCGCCAAUCAAGCAAAGAUAUUUUUGUGCAUUCAAGGAACACAGAGAGGAAAGACAGUGGCAGAUGGAGACGUAUAAAGCAGGGAUCCUGUUAUGAAAAGCCCUAAAAAAUAGGGUAUAGAGUUUGGGCCAUAUUUCAGAGGUAAUAAGAAAGCAUUCUGCAUUUUUAAAGUAAGGUUUAAAAAUGUUUCUAAUUAGAGAUACAGCAAAGUUGGUGUGAGAGGAUAAAGACUGAUAUACAUAAUCUGAGGAGUUCAUGAAAAUUCCAUGUAAAGCCUGUAGUAUGAAUUGGUCCUAGGAGACAGACAGCUUCAGGGGCAUAGAGAACUUUAAGCACUUUUCCAAGAAGAGUGAAGGGCUGGAGAAUAAAUUGUGAACUAAAAUAUAUUUUGUGUUUGAGAACAUGAAGUACUUGAGAGUGAUUAUUACACGGUUUUAAGAAAAAACUAGUUCUUUUAAAUAAAACUUUUUUUUAGCUGAGCACAGUGGCUCACGCCUGUAAUCCCAGCACUUUGGGAGGCCGAGGCAGGCGGAUCACCUGAGGUCGGGAGUUCGAGAUCAGCCUGAC